AAUCAGAAUGGCAGCCAUGAAAGGUACUCUCAUCAUUUGUAUUUUGAUACCACUUUUACUUACGGUCCUCUACACACCAAGUGCCACAGCAGCGCCCAGUGAAGAGCGUAUUGUGGUCAAACGUGGUGCAAUUGGUAUCGGCAUCGCCGUUGCCAGACCCCUUCUUAAGAUGCUUGUGCCACUACUAAAGAAAGUCUAGGACAACUACUAAUCUAAACAAUUUAUAACAAUUGCAAAUUAAGCUGAAAAACAAAAAAUAUAUACGCAUGGAAUAUUUAAAGAAUAUUUAUGUUAUCAGCAAGUUCGAUAAAUCUCUAAGGGGAUUGAGAGCAUCUUAUAUUACCAUCUAAAAUGGAAAUCUAAUAUAUAUCUAUAUAUAGUCGGUUCAGGGUAAAAUAAAACUAUGGGAAGAUGAUCGAA